rnacentral:rRNA from 1 species
UACGUAGGGUGCAAGCGUUAUCCGGAAUUAUUGGGCGUAAAGAGCUCGUAGGCGGUUUGUCGCGUCUGCUGUGAAAACUGGAGGCUCAACCUCCAGCCUGCAGUGGGUACGGGCAGACUAGAGUGCGGUAGGGGAGAUUGGAAUUCCUGGUGUAGCGGUGGAAUGCGCAGAUAUCAGGAGGAACACCGAUGGCGAAGGCGGGUCUCUGGGCCGAAAUUGACGCUGAGGAGCGAAAGCGUGGGGAGCAAACAGG